rnacentral:rRNA from 1 species
AUUGAACGCUGGCGGCAUGCCUUACACAUGCAAGUCGAACGGCAGCGGACCUUCGGGUGCCGGCGAGUGGCGAACGGGUGAGUAAUAUAUCGGAACGUACCUUUCAGUGGGGGAUAACGUAGCGAAAGUUACGCUAAUACCGCAUAUUCUGUGAGCAGGAAAGCAGGGGAUCGCAAGACCUUGCGCUGAUUGAGCGGCCGAUAUCAGAUUAGCUAGUCGGUGAGGUAAAGGCUCACCAAGGCGACGAUCUGUAGCGGGUCUGAGAGGAUGAUCCGCCACACUGGAACUGAGACACGGUCCAGACUCCUACGGGAGGCAGCAGUGGGGAAUUUUGGACAAUGGGCGCAAGCCUGAUCCAGCCAUGCCGCGUGAGUGAAGAAGGCCU